UACGUAGGGGGCAAGCGUUGUCCGGAUUUAUUGGGCGUAAAGAGCGUGUAGGCGGCCAUGUAGGUCCGUUGUGAAAACUCGAGGCUCAACCUCGAGACGCCGAUGGAAACCAUGUGGCUAGAGUCCGGAAGAGGAGAGUGGAAUUCCUGGUGUAGCGGUGAAAUGCGCAGAUAUCAGGAAGAACACCCGUGGCUAAGGCGGCUCUCUAGUACGGUACUGACGCUGAGACGCGAAAAGCGUGGGGGAGCGAACAGG
rnacentral:rRNA from 1 species